rnacentral:rRNA from 1 species
GCGUGGGGAGCAAAUAGGAUUAGAUACCCUAGUAGUCCACGCCGUAAACGAUGAGAACUAGGUGUUGGGGGAAUAACUCAGUGCCGCAGUUAACGCAGUAAGUUCUCCGCCUGGGGAGUAUGCACGCAAGUGUGAAACUCAAAGGAAUUGACGGGGGCCCGCACAAGCGGUGGAGUAUGUGGUUUAAUUCGAAGCAACGCGAAGAACCUUACCAGGCCUUGACAUCCCUUGCAGAGGUAUAGAGAUAUAUCCGAGGUUAUCAAGGAGACAGGUGGUGCAUGGUUGUCGUCAGCUCGUGUCGUGAGAUGUUGGGUUAAGUCCCGCAACGAGCGCAACCCUUGUGAUAUGUUACUAACAUUGAGUUGAGGACUCAUAUCAGACUGCCGGUGAUAAACCGGAGGAAGGUGGGGAUGACGUCAAAUCAUCAUGCCCCUUAUGGCCUGGGCUACACACGUACUACAAUGGCGUCUACAAAGAGCGGCAAGCCUGUGAAGGCAAGCGAAUCUCAUAAAGGGCGUCUCAGUUCGGAUUGAAGUCUGCAACCCGACUUCAUGAAGCUGGAAUCGCUAGUAAUCGCGAAUCAGCAUGUCGCGGUGAAUACGUUCUCGGGCCUUGUACACACCGCCCGUCAAACCAUGGGAGUUGGUAAUGCCCGAAGCCGGUGGCAUAACCCUUCGGGGAGUGAGCCGUCGAAGGCAGGACCGAUGACUGGGGUUAAGUCGUAACAAGGUAUCCCUACGGGAACGUGGGGAUG